rnacentral:rRNA from 1 species
UACGGAGGGUGCGAGCGUUAAUCGGAAUUACUGGGCGUAAAGCGCAUGCAGGCGGUCUGUUAAGUCAGAUGUGAAAUCCCCCGGGCUUAACCUGGGAACUGCAUUUGAAACUGGCAGACUGGAGUCCUGGAGAGGGGGGUAGGAAUUUCCGGUGUAGCGGUGAAAUGCGUAGAUAUCGGAAGGAAUACCAGUGGCGAAGGCGGCCCCCUCGGCCGAGAGACUGACGCUCAGAUGCGAAAGACGUGGGGAGGCAAACAAGGAUUAGAUACCCGCCGUAGU